rnacentral:rRNA from 1 species
GUGUCAGCCGCCGCGGUAAUACGGGGGGAGCAAGCGUUGUUCGGAUUUACUGGGCGUAAAGGGCGCGUAGGCGGCCACUGCAAGUCGAUUGUGAAAUCUCCGGGCUUAACCCGGAAAGGUCAACCGAUACUGCAGGGCUAGAGUGCGGAAGGGGCAACUGGAAUUCUCGGUGUAGCGGUGAAAUGCGUAGAUAUCGAGAGGAACACCUGCGGCGAAGGCGGGUUGCUGGGCCGACACUGACGCUGAAGUGCGAAAGCUAGGGGAGCGAACGGGAUUAGAUACCCCUGUAGUCC